rnacentral:misc_RNA from 1 species
CUUUAUUGCCACCUAAUAAAACCACAUACUAAAGGGCUUAUAAAAAAAAAACCCAAACGCUCCAAAGAGAUCGCUCUCUGCUUACAUGUUUUUUGCCA